CAGCUGAAGUGCCCAGGCAGGUCUGAUCAGAGCAGAAUAGAGGGGUAUUUGUCGUGAUCUGGGCACUAUAUUUCUGUUGAUGUAGCUUAGAAUUGCCUUAGCUUUUUUAGCUGCCACUUCAUCCUGCUGAAUCAUGUUUAGCUACUAAAACCCCUAGAUCCUUUCUACAUGUACUGCUGCCAAGCCAGGUAUCACCUAUCCUUUAUUUGGGCACCUUAGUUAGCCUACCAUAAUGCAGAACUUCAUAUUCAUUUUCGUUGAAAUUCGUUUUGCUUGUUUGGUUUUGUUAGUUUUGGCCCAGAUCCUGCCAAGAUCACCUUGAUUCCUGCAUCUAAGUAUUAGCAAGAACUCUCAGUUUAGUGUCAUUUAGAAAUGUGAUGAGCAAACAUUGGACAGCACUGGGUUUAGGGAAACCCUGAGGGUUUCUAGGUUGAUGACCCAUUGAAGAGCACUCUUUGGGAACAGUACCUAGCUUUCCAUCAAAAUAUGAGAGAGCUUGUUAAAAAUCGUUAAGAUACUUUGUGCACAUCUGCACCCCUGAUCUAGCAAGCCAUUAGCUGCAGCCCAAAAGGAGAUGAAAUUAGCUUGACAUGAACUCUUGCUGGCUCUUUGUAACCAUUGUGCUUUUUUAAAGACAGACCAACUGUUAAUAAUCUGUUUAGAAUUUUUCUAAGCAUUGAUGCCAAGUGAACUUGCCAUCAAUCACCCUUUGUGUCGCUAUCUUCAGAAGGGGGGAAUUUGCCCGCCAUCAGUCACCUAGCAUGCCACCUGUUCUCCAAUAAGUCUCAAAAAUUACAGGGACUCUGAUACAGUCAUACCUUGGGAUGAAUAUGCUUCAGGUUAAGCAUUUUCGGGUUGCGCUGCCACAUGCGCAGAUGCUCAAAAUGACAUCACGCCCAUGCACAGAAGCAGCAAAACACGACCCGCGCAGUCGUGUGUUAUGUUCACUUCAGGAUGCAAAUGGGGCUCCGGAAUGGAUGCCGUUCACAUCCAGAGGUACCACUGCAUUAUCCCUGCAAUGCAGCUCAUGUGACCCUGGACCACAUUUAGGGCAGCUAGGUGUUGCUGUUUGCAUCUUGAGUAAUAAUUCCCUUAAUUAUUUCGUCUAUCUUUUUAUUUUUUAUUUUUGGCAGAAUUUUACUUUUGGGAGAAGAUAGAGGUGAAGUGGGAGUUGAGCAGUCCCAUCUUCUCCCUGCCUCCCACUAACAUUUCCAUUCAACUGAUCUAUGGUUUUCUUGUUCUUCCACUUGCUCCAGACUGGCUCCUUCUUGUUGUUUUUAACCUUUCUCACAAGCCUAAGUUCAUCCUGAGCUUUAUCUCCCUGACACUUGCCCUACAACCUUGGCUAUUCAUGUGUCCUCAUCCGUGAUAGUCUGCCCAUGUUUUCAUCUCUGAUAAAGAACAUUGGGGGAAUGUAACCAAAGUCUUCCUGCCCAGCCUGUGUGGAUUCUCAAGACCUGUGCCUUUGCUUGGCCCUGGCUGGGAGCAACUGCUAUUUCCAUUACCUCAGCAAACCAGUGACUGUUUGAGGAGCCUAAUGCUCUGAAAGACUAGGACAAACUCUUCCUGGAAAUGUUCUGCACAAAGGAUUAUAAUGGCCUCCCAAAAAGCUGAAUGGAGAGUUUUAUUAUUUUCUGCUGUUUCUGAAAAUUAAAAUGGAACAGCUUAUUGAAAGGUAGUGCAGUUUUAAAUAUAUAUUUUCUUAUAAAAUAUCUCAUUUAAAAUUAAUUAUCCUAAUUCUGGGAAAAAGAAAAUAAACAACGUUGCAGAAAAGGAAAGGAACAGUGAAUUAUAGUAUGGAAUACCCCCGCCCCAAUCACACCCUAAAUGUUGGUACUUGAAUAUCUAACUUAAAGUAAGGGCAGCCAUGAUCAGGGGACUGGAGCAACUCUGCCAUGAGGAAGGCUUACAACAUUUGGGACUAUUUACAUGAAAGAAAGACAUAAGGAAGGACAUGAUAGAGGGGUCAAAAAUUAUGUAUGGUGUAGAGAAAGUGAUGAGAAGUUGUUCUGUUUUGAAACAUGGCCUCAGCAGUACAGAGGUUCCACAAAGGCUUCUGAGGUAGAAGAGGGCAACAGCAUAUCUUCAGGCGGGAGACAUCCUGGCCUAACUAGGUCCUCUUGCAGAAAUUCCUCUACCACUUCAGCUCUGUGGCCUCAUCCCCUGAAGGAGGGAUCUGACCCCAGGGGGAUGGCAAGUCUUUCUUCCUCUCUCACAACACUCCAAUCUAAGACCCAUCCAAUUAAGCAGAAGAAUGGGAGACUGGUACUUUUUCACCCAGCACAGAGUAAAUUGCCGUGUUCAGUGGGCUUCGCACAGACAUUGGACUGAAGUCCAGUUGCUGGGCAGCAUCAGUGGGAGGGGGCUGUUGCCCUCAUGUCUGCUCCCUGGCUUCCCAUAGACCUGUGGCUGGGGGAACAACCUGCAGGGCUAGAUUGGCCUUUGGUCUGAUCCCACAGAUGAGCCUUUUUGGUGUAUUGAAGAAACUCAUUAGGAGAGAGGUGUGCAUGCACCCCAGUUCCCUUUUCUGGCUAUCAUGUGCUUAAUGCUUGUUCUUUUACAUGGUCCUGGCCCCCUGGUCAGAAUGCUGCUUCUCAGCAGUUGUUUCUUUUUGAAGAUGGACAACAAUAUUGUUUGUCCCUGGCAGCGUUAAAAGGCCUGUGUGAGAAACCAAAAACUGCCCCCAUUGAAGAUUUGCAGACAGCCUGUCCCCAGGCCAGAAAUGCAAGCUAGCAAACAUGCAUUGGUGCAGUAGAAUAGAGAUCUGAUUGACAACUAAUACUGAUGUCCUGUUACUUGGCUUUGGGAUAUAAAAGAUGGAACCCAUAUCUGUGCAGUAUAGUAAGUGGUGUUGUGUACAUUAGACAUGGCUAUUCCAACAAUCCCACUUGCCAUGAUAAGUGUUGUGCUACCUUUGGGCAGGAGGAAUGGCCCGCCUCCAGGGUUUGAACCUGCAGGUGUAGGCAGAGAUCUGCCUGCUAGUUGCUUGGCAGUCCCCACCACCUCCAAAGCUGUGAGGAAGGUUGGAGGUUGUUUGCCAGCUACAUGGCAAAUAUACCCUGGAGAGCCGUGUCGGGGUGGAAUUUGGUCUUUCAGAUUUUAGUGGCACCUUGAGCAAGGGUUGACACCAACUUGCCCAGGGGGGGGGCGGGUUGGGGCCUUCAAGUUUGGCUUAGCCAGCAAAACUGAUAAUUGGUAUCCGUUCUCCUUGCAACUUGACUUUACUUCAAGCUACUUCACUGUUUGAGAUACUGUAACUAAAAAGUCUUUGGGUGUGUAUUUUAAGUGUGUUGCUCAAGUGAAGAUCAAUCAGGGUGGUGAUUUAAGAGGUCCCUCUUAGGCACAUUGCAGGACCUCACUGCUUCUUGGGUGAGCGAGAGCAUGGAACUCAAUAGAUACAACUUAAGGUGCAGGGAAUGUUCAGGGAGAAUGAGCCCAAGAUGUUCAAAGCAGAGACUAAUAUUGUAAGCAAUUUAGUCUUUGUUUGAUUGUAAUGCCCAGCUGUGAAGGAAUGCAGGUGUGUAGCCCACUAGCUAAUUUCAGGCCCAAGUCAAAACUGGCCCCCACUCCAGGCUGCUUUUUGUCAAUAACAAAAAUAUUUUUUUUGAAACAUUUAGCACAACUGGUUCAGAUACUGGAUUAGUGGGUCAUCAGAACGGUCUCUGGCAGUGCCUGGGUCAGCUGUUCUGACAUACAAUAGGUAGAGGAUCCCAGGAAAUGGGUAUAUUUAGAAUGGAAUGGAGUCCUAGGAAAGCAACAAAAAUGCAGAGAAGGUACCAGGCCAGUUCUCAGAUUACAUUGGGGGCAAGAGAAGGCCUGACCCCUUACCCUUUCAUUGGCCCCCUUAGCUCCUGUUUCUAAAGGCUGCAGAAAGCAUGAUUGGGCUAAAAUUGGGGUGACUCAGGGUGGCUUGUGGGUUUCAUUAAGCCCCCCCCCUUUUCUCAUAUAAAAAAAGACUAGCAUCUUUAGAGGAAAUGGAAAGCCAAAAGACUAUGGCCAACAGUCAAAGAGGUGAGGAUGACUGAUACUACAUAUUGAUUGAAAACAGCCAACCAGAUCUUUAUGGGGCUGACAUCUGCCAGUGUAAAUAUGCAAGCCUUUCUGUUAAACAGCACCCCUUCCUAAUUCUCACCUGUGCAUAGGACAAUGCUAUUUCUAAAAACUAAUGCUCCCCUCAUUUCAUAACUGUUGAGCAUUCUCUUUUGAUUAAAUUAUUUUGCAUUAAGGAUGUACAAAAUGGGCACAUUUUGCAUUCUCAAUAGUUCCUAGCCCUUAAUAGGUUUUGGAAGCACUGCUGUUGUUGUUUUAAGAAAGUGUUUUUGGUGUCUGCAACGAGGCUGGAAGAGAGCAAGGAGCUUAGCACUAUAAAGUUGUCAAUUUUUUCCUUAAUGUUGAGGUUGUAUUGGUUAGGAAUUUAUAUAGACAUAAAAAUAUAAGCAUUAACUUGGAUAUAAUGGCCUCAUUUGCAUGUAUUUUUAAACGAUAGCUAAAUAAAUGACAGUUUAAAGGUGAACACUCAGUGUGCUGGUGCACACUAUUAGAGUUGUGGCCCCUUCACUCCUCCCCAACUGCUGCAACCUCAGUGACGAUUUAGACCAGGCUUCCUCAACCUUGGCCCUUCAAUUCCCAUCAUCCCUGACCACUGGUCCUGCUAGCUAGGAUCAUGGGAGUUGUAGGCCAAAAACAUCUGGAAGGCCGAGAUUGAGGAAGCCUGACUUUUAGACCAAUGAAUUCAUGGCUUUUCAGUUAUAUGAUUCAGCCGCUAUCCACUCCACCUUAGAAGACAAAAACUAUGGCUGAGAAUGAGCUUCCUUUCUACUCUGCUAAGUUUUGUGCACAUUAUCCAGCAACAGGCAUUGGCACAAUAAAACAUCCUGCCUGCACUGCUUCAACUUUCUUCCUAGGGGCUGGCAGCCUUGGCAGUCUUUGCUUUCCCCAGUUCUUCGGGCUAUCUUAGAACAUUUUACUGGAUCCCACUUGCAACUUGCUAUAAAUUGGAUUCAGUGGGUUAAGUUGCAGGGAACUGUGUGGCAAAUUGCACCUUGGGUCAGUUAAGUGGACUUUCUGGAUCCUACCAACCUGUAAUCGUUGCCUCUACCAAAUGUAUGCAAUCUUACCAGUUGGCCAUGUCUGUUUUGAAAUGGUUCCCCCAUCUUCUUGAAGCAGCCUCCCCCAAUGUGCUCCUGCUGUUUUAGACCAAACUCCAUCAUCUCCAGCAACAUGCUUAUAGUCCAAACUGCAGGCUGAGAGCACCAGGGUGCAGAAGGCUGUUUCGAAAGGAUCCAACAUCUCUCAGGGAUAAAAAUAGAGCCUGUUUGUAGAAUGGGGACUCACAAACUUUCUCCAGCUCUGAAACUGGACAUUAACAUUCUUCAGUGCCCAGCUGUCUUUUGUGCAAAUGCAUGUCACACCUGUGCCUUUGCACAAUGAGCUCCAGCCUCCAGGGUGGAUGCAUAGGAGCCGCAUCCCCAAGACAUCUGUUGCAGCAGGCUGGGCAGUCUGCCUUCACCACUAGAGCCAGUAAACCCUUAUGGACUUUUCAGAUCCAUCUUCUGGGGCCUCAAGAGUAGAGCAGCCUCCCCCUUGGCUCUCACAGAUCUCAGAGCUGUGUGGCGGCAACUCUGCUAAAAACGCCUUGCCCUUUUUGCAAGAAAGCUGUUCCCGUGCUGGACCCUGGGCUUAUCCCACACUUGUCCUCUGCUUAGCAAGCACAGGUCUGAGUAGUUUUGCCUCUGCCCUGCUGCAUCCCCCAGGAAGCCUGCUCUUUUAGCACUACAUCUGCAGAAAACCCAACGGCUGUUUGUUCCAAUUCAGUGCUAACCCACAGGUUUUCCCAGGGGUGGGGGGAGCAGCAGGGUAAAUGGAAGUGUAGAUGGGCCUAGAGAAAGCAGCCCUCCACAACUCCACUCUGCGUAGCUCCAUGCCAAAUUCUGUGCUUAUCUUAAUGUUGUGCAUCAGGGAAGCAAGCACACUUUGUGUUCUGGACUUGAACAUGAACUGCUUUAAACUGAAGGGUACUUACUCAGCUUAUUUAUUUGAUCUAUUUAUUUUAAGUUAUUUUUUUCAAUUAAGAGACACAUGCACCCUCCUCAGGUGAGCUCUUGAGUAUGAAAGGUCUACAGAAAACAGAGGGUGGGGUUGGUUGUACUGAAACAGAGAGCUAUACAUAGGGAGGGAUGAUUUUCUCACAUGUGCUAUUUGUUGUCUUAAGCUUCAACCUUGUCGUUGUCCUUUAUCAACAGGAUUGGUGGCUAUGAAUACAACUUCCAUUAAAUCAGUUGAGGGGGUUGGAGAAAGAGGGUUGAAUCUAUUCCUUUUGAUGUGAUUCUCCUUUCAUACCUUUGCUCUUUUUGGAUCGCCCUCACCAGUAACAGAUUUUGGGCUCUCAAAUUUCAGUGCUGGCCAGCAUGUCACUAAAAUUUGGCAGCCCCAUCUCUUGGGGCUCUGUUCUACAGCAUCGUGGUGGUGCCCUGUGCAGUGUGGUGUCCAGUGCAGCCAAACUGGUCAUAAUACUCUAAAACUGCCUCUGCCCUUGCACCCUCAGUUUUCUUCCUUCUCCCUUUGUGGUGUGUGUGUGUGUGUGUUUUUUACUCCUGCAGUAUUAGAUGUUGCCAGUUUCCAGAGAUAUUUAUAGGAGCAGGAGCAUGUGGAAGUCACUUUGGAAAGAAAAAUCAGGUAUUCUGCCAUUUUGAAAAGACUGGAAGCAGGGAAGGAAGAGGCAAGCGGGCUUUGCAGAGUGCCUUAAAACACUGACUUUAAUCUGAAAUGGGAAGGGGAUUGCUCUUUAUCUCUGAAUUUUAUAGAGGGUCAGGCAAUGUUGCAUUCCACUUUUCUGGGGUUUUAAACAAAUUGUCAAAUAUAUCAUGUAUUGC